GCGCCGACCUUGAUCUCGUAGCCGGCGCCAGCAGCCGCGCUUUGGGGCGUCGGCUCACGUGGGGCCGGCAACGCGUCUUCCAGGAUGUUCGCGCGCUAGUCGCCGCUGAGGGGCCGGCGAUGCGCGAGGAGUUCCGGCGAGGAAGGUCGGUCAGUGGACAUGGCCGAGGCCCGCGGUGUCCGCGUGUGGGAGCUGCAGGGCUGAGGAGAGGCCGCCCGCAACCCUCGGGAAUCGUUCCCUUUAUAGGCACAACUGCUUAAAGAAACCAGAUGGCCCCAGGAUGGUGCCAGAGCUUCCUGACCCCUUAUCAGAUACCAGAGGAAGAUAAGACUGCAGAGCGGAACAGGAUAGGCAACCCCUGAGACGAGGUCUCACUAUGUUGGCCAGGUUGGUCUCGAAUUCCUGGCCGCAAGCCGUUCUCCAGUCUGGGCCUCCCAAAGUGCUAGGAUUACAGGAACAGAAUUGCCAUUGGGCCCAGGGAGAGACUACACUUCUUGUCUGCUUUGUUGCUAGUGCGGCCUUGUGGCCAAGCACAGAACGUGUGCAGUGAUGAUGGUGCAACUUCUAGGUCGUCCCCAGCAUGGAAAAUGAGCCCUGGGCAUGGAAGAUGAGCCCUGGUCCUGCAGCGGUGCUCUUUCCUCUUCUCACAAGCUGGAAUGUGCAUGUGCUCCCACCCAGCUUUGACCAUGGGGCGAAAACAGUACUCUGCAGUCUGGCAGAGCAACAAGGUGGAAAGGGCCUGGGUCCUUGAGUGACGUCAUGAGCCCUCUCACUGUCCCGACUUUGGGACUGUUAUAUGAUAAGGACUUUCUGUGAGUCACUGUCUUUUAGAGUCUCUCUGUUUUAGCUGCCUGGACUUUAUCCUGAAUAAUAUGGCUGUUAUCAUGGGUAUAGUGUUACUAUGAGCCUCAUCUAAGUAAUUUCUACUCUGCCUUUGACCACUAAACUCAUGUUGGACAAGAGUCACUUAGCAUUAUUUUUUCCUCAAUGAAGAGGUUAAGAUGGAGGGAGCAGGAGAAAUUGAGGCCUGUGUUUUACCAGAAGGUGAAGGGCUGUCUUUGCCUUUCCUACAUUUAUGAAGGAUAAUUCUAGACAAAAACAUUAAGUUCAUAUCAAACCAUCUGCUUUGUGAAGCCAUGGGCUUUGCUAGAACUUUCUGUGACAUGACAUUUAUUAACCCGAGUCUACCUGGAAGUUAGAGCUGAGGAAGUUUUCCUAGAGUGGAAAAAGUCCAAUGCACUUGUAAAAGUCAGACCAAGCUCAGCUCAGAUUUCAGUUUUAUUAGAAGUAUGUCACCUUCCUGAGCCCUUAUUAUUUCCCCAUCUGUGAAAUGAGGACACCGUUCUCUCUUUCUAAGCAUUGCUGGGAAGACCACACACCACUGAGACAGAAGGUGGGGCUAGCGCAGUUCUGGGCAUUUUGUACACCCCCAACAAAUACUGAUUUAUUUCCUUCUUUUUCCUUGCUCAGAAAAAAUUGGAGAAGGCUUUAUUUUAAAAUUCUGCCUGAAUUACUUUAUUUUAUUUAUUUAUUUAUUUAUUUUUUGGAGACAGAGUGUUGCUGUGUCACCCAGGCUGGAGUGCAGUGGUGCGAUCUCAGCUCACUGCAACCUCCUCCUGCUGGGUUCAAACGAUUCUCCUGCCUCAGCCUCCUGAGUAGCUGGGAUUAUGGGCGCCCACCACCAUGCCCAGCUAAUUUCUGUAUUUUUAGUAGAGACGGGGUUUUGCCACAUUGGCCAGGCUGGUCUCGAACUCCUGAUCUCACGUGAUCUGCCCACCUCAGCCUCCCAAAUUGCUGGGAUUACAGGCAUGAGCCACCAUGCCCAGCCCUUGAAUUACUUUAGAUCCUACUUUUUAAGAAAAUAUUUGGCCGGGCAUGGUGGCACACACCUGUAAUCGCAGCACUUUGGGGGCCUGAGUUGGGUGGAUCACUUGAGUCUAAGAGUUCGAGACCAGCCUGGCCAACAUGGCGAAACCCUAUCUCUACUAAAAAUACAAAAAUUAGCCGGGCAUGGUGGUGGGCACCUGUAAUCCCAGCUACUUGGGAGGCUGAGGCAGGGAGAAUCACUUGAACCUGGGGGGGCAGAGGUUGCAGUGAGCCAAGAUAGUGCCACUGUACUACCGCCUGGGCGACAGAGCAAGACUUUGUCUCAAAAAAAAAAAAAAAAGAAAAUAUUUGACUUUCUUUUUAAAAUGUAUAUGGUUUACAAAUAAAGUUUACAAAUGCUUUUACACUCC
rnacentral:lncRNA from 1 species